GGCUCAGAUUGAACGCUGGCGGCAUGCUUUACACAUGCAAGUCGAACGGUAACAGGUUAAGCUGACGAGUGGCGAACGGGUGAGUAAUGCAUCGGAACGUGCCCGAUCGUGGGGGAUAACGCAGCGAAAGCUGCGCUAAUACCGCAUACGAUCUGAGGAUGAAAGCGGGGGAUCGCAAGACCUCGCGCGAUUGGAGCGGCCGAUAUCAGAUUAGGUAGUUGGUAGGGUAAAGGCCUACCAAGCCAACGAUCUGUAGCUGGUCUGAGAGGACGACCAGCCACACUGGAACUGAGACACGGUCCAGACUCCUACGGGAGGCAGCAGUGGGGAAUUUUGGACAAUGGGCGAAAGCCCUGAUCCAGCCAUUCCGCGUGCAGGAUGAAGGCCCUCGGGUUGUAAACUGCUUUUGUACAGAACGAAAAGGUUUCUAUUAAUACUAGGAGCUCAUGACGGUACUGUAAGAAUAAGCACCGGCUAACUACGUG
rnacentral:rRNA from 1 species